rnacentral:ncRNA from 1 species
GCAAAGAUAAAAACGCAACGUGCAUCCGGCAGAUUCCGGAUGUGCCAGAGCCGGUAGGUAGCCCGGCCGUCCCGCCGCCGCAGGCGGGGUAAGUAACCUGCCCCUCCCGGGUUGUCCGUUCUUUGUGCAUAA